ensembl:snoRNA
CCAGGCACCUAUCGAACCCGUCCCUGUUCUCAUGUAGCAGUCACGAUCAAAAGGAUGUAAAAACAUAACUUCCUACGACAGUUGCUGUGUUGUUCGACCUUAACUGAUUCCACAACAUUAAGGGGAAGGACACUU